AUUGAACGCUGGCGGCAGGCUUAACACAUGCAAGUCGAGCGGAGAUGAGGUGCUUGCACCUUAUCUUAGCGGCGGACGGGUGAGUAAUGCUUAGGAAUCUGCCUAUUAGUGGGGGACAACAUUCCGAAAGGAAUGCUAAUACCGCAUACGUCCUACGGGAGAAAGCAGGGGACCUUCGGGCCUUGCGAUACUAGAUGAGCCUAAGUCGGAUUAGCUAGUUGGUGGGGUAAAGGCCUACCAAGGCGACGAUAUGUAGCGGGUCUGAGAGGAUGAUCCGCCACCCUGGGACUGAGACACGGCCCAGACUCCUACGGGAGGCAGCAGUGGGGAAUAUUGGACAAUGGGCGGAAGCCUGAUCCAGCCAUGCCGCGUGUGUGAAGAAGGCCUUUUGGUUGUAAAGCACUUUAAGCGAGGAGGAGGCUACUUAGAUUAAUACUCUAGGAUAGUGGACGUUACUCGCAGAAUAAGCACCGGCUAACUCUGUGCCAGCCGCCCGCGGUAACAC
rnacentral:rRNA from 1 species